rnacentral:misc_RNA from 1 species
CAAGUUCAUCAAAUGGAAUUUGGUUUAAGAUUUGUUGUGUUGUUUGGCCCAGUUUGUGUCAAAUGUACAUUGUGAUUUGAAGUGCCAAAAUUUAUUAUGUUGGUCUUGCAAGUGAAGGAGUGUUGACAUUCUUAGGCAGUUGGUGAUGGUGAAAGCUGAAAAGCAAAGUUUUUGUGUCUCUACCCAUUUGGUUUUAGAGAUGUUUUGUUGUGUGUCAAAGGUUUGAAUUUGUGUUAUCAUGUCGACAUUACAAGUGUCUAAAUUUCUCACCGUUAAACUUCUGAACAAUCCCUUUGAACGUUUGCUGUAGCUAACGACACUUUUAAUUUUUGGUUAUUCAUAGAUUAGUGUGAUAUGAGUUUUGUUCAACUUAAGUUGGACGAUAUGGCUUCAUGAAAAUGUGUGCCAUCGAUUAAAUAUCAUAUUGAUGCCUCUUUGGCAGGUUGUUUGUGCGGUUAUUUUCAUAUUUUCUCAUAAUUGAAUGUGUAAUACAAUUUUUAUGUUAAUUCCUUCUAUUUAUUUCUUUCCUUCUUUUUUUUUUUCUCUUCCAAUUUUAUUUCUUUUUGCGUAUUUGCAUUUGGAUGUAGAAGAUAGAGAUCUUAUGCCCAG